UGUGAAAAUAAUAUAGCGGGACGAUAGAUAACAGAAAGCAAGGAAGAGUAAGAACAUCUUAAAUACUGACAAAAGUGGCAUUGAACAAAAAACAUUGUUGCAACCACAGGUGUGGCCAGUAGGGGGAGAUGGCUAGGCAAAGAAUCUUCUACGCAAAGUGUGGUAGAAGCACCUCACUUUGAACUAUAGAGGCUAAUCAGAUCACAAGAGAACCGUUAGAUUUUUGGUCAAGUACAGACCUCUACACAAAGGAUUAAUGAUAACCAAGAAGCAAUGAAGAAUUAUGUUUAUAAGAACUGUGAAAAGAGAAGAAAGAUGUUUGUCAGUCGGUUGUCUUACUCCGUUAAACUUGUGACACAAAUUCGUCAAUCCUGGUAUUGCUUAUCAAGUUGAAGGGAGAGUGAUUUUCCCAGUUUCCACAGCAGAGUGUUAUAUCUUUUCUUCAGCAGCCUAAAGCACAAAUCACUGGUAAGUACCAGGUACACAAGCAGGGGCUUACAUGAGAUAUCAUCAGGAAUAAACAAGCUGCUCAGCACUGAUAUAACUUGCAUUAUAAUAGGAGUUUGAUGAAAACCCCAAGGUUUUUUCCAAGUAACUCCAGAAAUGUGAGAUUCUAGGGUGAUAACCAUAAAUACUAGAAAGCAAGGUAAGGGAAAUGAAUUCCUUUGUUGUCCUCUUUCUCUUUUCUAAAUAGGAUACAAAUGGCAGCUAAUGAAAUGCAAGUAAUAAUUGCAAUUUUUCCCUGAAGUAAUUGACUGUACUUUGCUUUCC
rnacentral:lncRNA from 1 species